UUCUUUGCUCUACUGAAAUUGCUUUAAUAUCUGAUAGUGUAUUGCCUAAUACAUUUGUUUGUAUAGAACCGGUGACAAAACAAUAGGGCCUUUUAAUUUCUGUUGGUUGCAUUUCGGACCAGAUACAAAGAAGUGUUGAUCAAGGCAUACACUGCUGCAUCUGCAGUGGCUUCCAAACACUUAACACUUCUAACACAGGAGAAGAGAUGAAAUUGUACGAGGCUGGGCAAUCCUCAACAAUGGCUUUCAAGAAAUGGCGGAUGGGUGGACCUAGACUGCAGAAAGCUUCUGUGCUUGGGAGAAAAAGAAAGGGAAAAUUUUAGUCUGGAUCAUGGUCCACGUAGCACUGUGGACCGGGGAAGAAAAUAAAAAAACGGAUUCUGUUAAUAAUGGCGGACGGUGAAUUCUGGUAACGUUGUGAUUGCGAUCUUUUGCUCGAUUUCUCUCAUCCUUGUUCUUCUCAUAGUCUCCCAUAUUCAUUUUGCGAUUUUCUACUCAACCAUGGAUCAAACAACAAAUAGAAGCAAUCAGAGUUUCUGCGAUUGACGUGAUUGAUGCAGCGCUAGUUGUUAUUGAUCACAGUUCAUUUGAUUCGUUUAUUGUAUUGUUCCUAGGGUUUGUGAUUGUAUUUUUUAGAUUGGA